UAAAACAGCCCGUAUAGUUCAUCUAGAUAGAACUCUCCUCUCAUGGCGUGCAAUCCCCACCAAGCUUCUCAUCCCCAUGCGUCAGUGGUGAGCAUCGGGAAACUCGUAGAUGGAGAGGGGGAAUGCGUGAUGCGCUGCUCAAACUUCUCAUGUCCGGAGACUCGCGGCGGUAGCGGAGGUUCUGGAUCUUGGUGGCGUGGCGGAGGAACUGAGGUAGCUCCCAGAUGGGAGAACAUCAGCAAGAUGUGACCAACAUCUGUUGGCGGCUGCUUAGUUGUUGCCCUCAUUGCUGGUGAUGUUGGACUCCUACCAAAUUGGAGAUCAGAGUAAAGCAAAUAUAUGGAUUUAGGGGGAAACACCUACUCUACAUACGUCAUCAAUUGGGAUUCAAUACUUAUUACAUGCAUGAAUUUCUGAUUCCUCCGCAUCCAAGCAGUUAGCCACCAAGCGACCUGCAGAGAACACAAUCGAACCCCAACUAUUCGGGCCACUGCCUCUGAGCUCGCCACCCCUGUUUCAGCAAUGUAAGAGGCAUCUACAUCAAGCUUCAGCCAACCAAUCGCCGGUCUGUCAUUUUUCCUCAGGCGUCUAUAUCCCGGCCCUGACAGGAUAAUGUACUCCAUAGAGUUGAUCUCAACCUAGCAAGCGAUUCUCGCAUCCAUUUUUUGUUUGAUAUGAUAGUAAAAAAGGAAGUUUAAAUGCACAUAUGCUGAGUUGGGUAGCAAAAGCAUCAGCCUCACGUGAGACAUGCAGGUUAGUUUUUAAGUUCAGUAAUUUUACCUGCGGCUAGUCUUCUUUUCUUGCCUAGCUUCUGAAAUCUUGUUUUCUAAGGGUAGAGUUUUCAGGCCUGAAUCAAGGUCUGUGCCACGUUUACAAAUGUUGUAGGGUAGUACACGUAUUUUUUUGUAUGUGUUCUUUAUUCCUGAAUUACGACGAACUUUGGUGCCCACAGGAACCAUAAACUGAUAAAAGUCCAUGCCUUUCAGAAAAUUACACAUGACAUGCUUUUGAUAGUUCUAAUAUUCACACCCUUAUAAUCUACUACCUCUGUACCAAAAUAUAUGACGUUUUUGUAGUUCAAUUUGAACUGGAAAAACGUCAUAUAUUUUGGUACGGAGGGAGUAAUAAGUAUCUUUUAUCCUGUCAAGUACUCUUACUAUAUCUUUGGUAAUGUUUUUGGUGCUGAGUGCCUACAUAUAUGGAGUAAUUAAGAAUAAUUUUAUUAUACAUCAAUGAACAAAUGCGAAUCACUAUUGAGUCGAGAACUAUCAAACAUAAUGGUUUAUAACUAUCAAGAAGUUCCUAUGUUUCGGCUAUAUCCAGAUCUUUAUAUAUUUUUGUGGCACUCAUUUAUUUUGCAAGUAAACCUAUCUAAUAAACAAUGUAUCUCUCUAAUUAUCUGUUUGUUUUUGUAAUUGGACAUAUCAUUGAAUUUCUACACCAUGGUCGAGGUCACAAUAAGGACAGUUUAGUUGCCGAUUACAUCCUCGGUUAAAAGAUAAGCUAUCUUUCCCUGUAAUGUGACUCUGAUUUCAUCAGAAUUAAAGAGUGUAAUUAUAAAAGUUAGUGCUAACCACAUGGCGGAGGUUCAGUUAAAAUUUUGGACAUGCGAAUGCAUGAUGCACUUCCUCUCGUCUUCGAAUCUCAGUCUCAUGGAUAUAUAAAUCUUGUGGGUCCUUUACUUUUAUUCUUUUUUCCACCGGCUUUACUUGAAUAAGUAAUAUGAUGGCAUCUGUAAAUUUGAAUAUUAAAAAUAUAACCAUUAGAAAUUUAAUUAGUUGAAAGUCUUAAUUACAACUAUAAACAUACCUGAGCAUUGUAUAUCUGCUUCUGUCCAUUCUUGUAGUGUGACCAUGGUAGCAAACUCAAAGUAACAAUUUGGAAAAACUCCCCGCGCUCUUUUCAUCUCAUUACCUUUGUAUUGUAUGCUAAAAUACAUUUUUUGCAAGUUGAUCCUUUUGGUAUGUGGUAUGUCACUGUAUUGCCUGCUAUGGACAUGUGCAGGUAUACUUAUUAAUUUUGUGGUUAUUUUGUACUUCCUCCAUCCCAAAAUAAGUGACUCGACUUUGUACUAAACCUAGUACAAAGUUGAGUCACUUAUUAUUGGAUGGAGGGAGUAGUAUUUAUUCAUUAGCACUUCCAAUCAAUUACCACAGCUACGUUUGUACAGUCGAGUAACAAUGGGUUGCUAAGGGUGUCCGAGGAUUUCUUAUUCCUGUUGCAACGCGGGCAUGUUUGCUCACUGGGCAAUAUUUCGUGAUUUCCAGAACCUUAAAAUUGUUGAAUGCAUAAAUAUAUGUGCGCAUUGGUCUUUGAUAUGAAAUUGUCUAUUAGAUUCUUCUAGAUUGUAGUGUGAUUUGUCUGGCCAUACCAAAAGAAACAAUUAAACUUGGUAACAGUUGUUGAAAACACGGGAUAAUUUGCAGUUAAAAGAGCAUAAUUGUUCAUCCAUCGAUAUCAUAUCUAGGCUAAUAAGCUCAUCAGUUAUUGGAUUGAAUACAUUCUCAUCACUUACACUUAAAUGUUCCAGUUUUGUCUGCUUGUCAUUAAGUCACUCAACUUCUUACACGCCAUAGUAUUUUGCCUUCAAAUCAAUAGAAACUUAGUUAUCAAUUGAUAAAGUACAUAUGAAGAUGUUAUCCAGAAUAAGUGAGUUUACUUACAAAACCUGAUGAUUCAGGUGAGAAGCAGUUGGGCAUGACUUUGUUGGAUGUCGAGUUUUAUGCCGCGUGAAGUGGCUGACCUUGCUUCGUCAGACGUCGAGCUACACGACCCGUGGUGGUUUUACUGACUAAUACUUACGGUGCGUCCUGCCGCGCUUCGUCUUACCGGCAUACUUCGCUGUUCUUGGUGGCUUGUUUGAGUUGCCCUUUCCUGACUACUACUUCUUGGAUGUCUACUUGUGUGGCUGGUCAUCAAAAGUCGCUCUAGUUCUUGAAGGCCGUAGUAUUUUUCCUUCAAAUAUAUAGGAAUUAGUUGUCAAUUGAUAAAGUACAUAUGAAGAUGUUAUCCAGAAUAAGUGAAUUUACUUACUAAACUUGAUGAUUCAGAUCAGUA